GGGAUGAGGAGUAUUGCAGAAGCUACAAAGUUAGAAUUACACAUGUUCCUACAGCAGUAGGGACAUACUUGCUGAAGAAACUUUCAGAUGAGCCAAGGCUGUGGCCAACCCCUGUGCUCCAGAGGAAAGGAAGGAAAAGAAACACCAUGAGCCCAAUUCUCCCAUAACUCCUCAAAAAUGUCCCUUGCAUGGAGCUCUUGUGCCCCUCAGCAAAUCCCCUCGGGGGAUUUUGUCCCCUGCUCUGGGUCGGUAUGGUACCUGCCUACUGAAGAUAAGGCAUUUGUACAAUGUCUUUGGUCAAUAUUUCCCAUUCAUCCUUCUCCUAGUGACAGCAAGAUUAACAAUUUAUUAUUAUUCAUAAUAGUACAGUCUAUUUAAGAAAAGCAAUUUGAACCAACCUGCCUGUAUCAAAACAAAAGCUUGUAAAAUCAUAAUAUUCUCUAUUUUCACAUCUCUGAUCCAAGCUUCUUGUGCAAGUUACCACUAUACAUUGUUAAAAGCUGAAAGCACCUAAUGCUGCAGGACAGAGGUUACCAUGGCCUUUCACCCAUCGUGUAGUAUUUUUAUUUUUUUUCUGCAUGGGAAAAAACAGGGAGUAAAUGGAGUUGAGAAACGAGUAAAGACUGCUGUCUGCAAUGGAGAAUGCAAUAGGUGGAACGUAAAUAAUUACCCGGGAGGUACGGGGCCCUCCCAGGCAUGUGUGACGGGAAAAUCACAGCACAGAUGGACGUGGCUGUGGUCCAUAUUAAUUUACGACAGUGAUUAUCUAGGCAAUGGGGCUGCUCACUUCAUUCGGAGAGAGAGCUUGCACCCCAAAAGCAGAACAGCAAAGCUAACGGCAGAGGAGCUGCUUUAUUAGCAUGGUCACAAGCAAGUCACUUUGCAAGGAUCAGGGUAGGCUCAGGAAUAUUUCAGCAAUACUCAGCAGUAAGGAGUUCUGUCAGAGCUUCCUGUGUCUGGAAAGGUUUUUGUGGGAGAGCAUAGAAGAACACUUGUCACUGCUGUGUGGAAAGUCUUGAUGCAGCACUCCAGCUUUUAAAAACAACAGCUUUCUAUGACUGCCCAAGGUUUCUUCAUAAUUGGCUUAGAACAGCAGAGACCACCAGGCUGCAAGCAGCACUUGUUCACUGUGUUAUAACAUCUAAGAACAACAAGUUGGGGCGCUAUUGAUUUUCUUAUGCUAAUAAAGAUGGUCAGGUGGAAUUUUCAAAGUGAGAUCUUUCCACCGAGUGCUUUUCCUUUCCAAUCGUCCAAGCAAGCAGCUGCGUCUCGCCGUGUGCCUCUCCUCCUGGCCAUUGGGCAGACUCAGAGAGCUGACCUGCUCUUUUUGCUGCUUGGAAGGUUUUGCUGAAGGAAGGAAUACCGAUGGCUGGAGGAGCAUGAUGUGAUGGAUGUGCAGAAGAAACAGCCUUGUAGCUGAUACAGUUGAUGAUCUGCUCACAAGCACUUUUCUUUGAAAAAGCGCUGCCACAGUGACUUACCAGAGGGGCCUGCAGCUCUGGAGCGGCCUUGGCCAUGCCAAGAAACCCCUUGGGAUGAAUUCCUUUUUUGUGCACAUUGCUGGUCAUAGCCAUGUAAUAAUGCAGCCUUGCCUCGCCACUUGCAUGAACUUUGCUCUUAAGUAGAGCCCGAGCCAUUUCUAAACAAAGGCCUAAAUGUGAAAUUACAGUCAACUUCCAUGCCUAUGUUAUUACGAGAUUUUAAUUUUUCUAGGGUAUGAACAAUAGCAACUAUUUGGCUGCGCUGUUUUCCCGGGCGCUGGCACAAUGUGCAUCUUCUGUAAACUGACAUCUCAUGAUUUUGUCUGAAAAUGGAAUAUUUAACUGCGCACAUUUUCUUCUCUCAUAUUGGGUUUCAUUCAAAUGGUCUUAAACUUGUAUUUCUUUAUUGCUUAUUAACUUUAAUGAGGUAUGAAUAUAAAAGAGAAUAUUAAAAGGCUUUUCUUUUUCAAAAAGGCAUUUCUUUACAAACAGUGUUGACGUUAUCAAGUAGGUGAGUCUAAGCCCUUAAAUUUAUUUUUGAUCUUGUAGUCAUUAAAAAAAGAAUAUGAGAUUAAAAAACCUUCAAAUUAGGCAACUAGGAUUAAAAGCUUUCUAUUGUUUGGCUUAAUAACACAAUUUAAGUGUGAAUACUUCAGAAGUGUAGGAAGCCUUUAUGCUUCCAUACCUUAUGUAUUUUGUUUAUUUCUAUGAAAGUACUUUAAAGAUUUAAAUCUCCUACAGCAAAUAAACUAUGCUCAUGCUUGGAAAACGAGAUACUGCGAGGGAUUUUGGGCUUGGAAAUAUUCUGAGUAUCUAUUAUGCAUAAAAAUAAAAAUUUCUGAAGACAAAUGCACAACAGUCAUUACAAGUUUUGUUUUCAUAUAUUCCUAAGUUUGGUGUAUUUUCUUUUAACAAAUUAUUUUGGGUGCAACACAAGCACAGGAAUAUCCUUCUUUCUGUGUCUGAUCCGCUGAGCCAAUGUGCCUUAUUAACAAUACAUGAGGAGCGUACCUAAAUAUAUUUAAGGAAAUUCAACUUGACUCUCGUUAUUUACAAUUCAAAUGUUCAAUCUUGCUUUGGAAAUCUGAUUUUCAGUGUACGUUAAAUAAACAUGUUUUAUAUGAAGAGGC
ensembl:lncRNA